rfam:Candidatus Melainabacteria bacterium GWF2_37_15 gwf2_scaffold_9761, whole genome shotgun sequence.
GCGCCUUUAGUUCAGUCGGUAGAACGUCGGUCUCCAAAACCGGAUGUCGUGGGUUCGAGUCCUACAGGGCGCG